GAAGGGGGCGAGCGUUAUUCGGAAUUAUUGGGCGUAAAGGGCUCGCAGGCUGCUUGAACAGUUAGACGUGAAAUCCCCGGGCUUAACCUGGGAACUGCGUUUAAUACUAGCAAGCUAGAGAAAUAGAGAGGAAAGUGGAAUUCCCAGUGUAGAGGUGAAAUUCGUAGAUAUUGGGAAGAACACCAGUGGCGAAGGCGACUUUCUGCUAUUUUCUGACGCUGAGGAGCGAAAGCGUGGGGAGCAAACAGGAUUACAUACCCUGGUAGUCCACGCCGUAAACGAUGUGUGCUAGAUGUUGG
rnacentral:rRNA from 1 species